rnacentral:rRNA from 1 species
UACGUAGGGCGCAAGCGUUGUCCGGAAUUAUUGGGCGUAAAGAGCUCGUAGGCGGUUUGUCGCGUCUGCUGUGAAAACCCGGGGCUCAACUUCGGGCUUGCGGUCGAUACGGGCGGGCUAGAGUUCGGUAGGGGAGACUGGAAUUCCUGGUGUAGCGGUGAAAUGCGCAGAUAUCAGGAGGAACACCGGUGGCGAAGGCGGGUCUCUGGGCCGAUACUGACGCUGAGGAGCGAAAGCGUGGGGAGCGAACAGG